UACGUAGGGUGCGAGCGUUAAUCGGAAUUACUGGGCGUAAAGCGUGCGCAGGCGGUUUUGUAAGCCAGAUGUGAAAUCCCCGGGCUCAACCUGGGGGCUGCGCUUGAUACUGAUGAGCUUGAAUGCGGGAGAGGAUAGUGGAAUUCCCAGUGUAGAGGUGAAAUUCGUAGAUAUUGGGAAGAACACCGGUGGCGAAGGCGGCUAUCUGGCCCGUAAUUGACGCUGAGGCGCGAAAGCGUGGGGAGCAAACAGG
rnacentral:rRNA from 1 species